rfam:Clostridium tetani E88, complete genome.
UUAAGUUAGGUUUGUGAUUGAAAGUCGAUGCCAGCCGCAGGCAAAGCGAUCCACGUAAGUUAAAUAAAAUAUUUAAUGAGCAUGGUGCGGUUUAGAAGUAAGACCUGCCGUAUAAUAAUAGCGAGAGGGUUAGUAGUGAGAGGAAAAUUCUGGGUAGCAAAGGCUCCAGCAGGCGAGUGUGGGGUCAAAGAUCAGGUCAACUAGCUUAA